rnacentral:tRNA from 1 species
GGGCAGGUGGCGAAAUUGGCAGACGCAUACGGUUCAGGGCCGUACGGGAGCAAUCCCUUGAGGGUUCAAAUCCCUCCCUGCCCACCA